rnacentral:rRNA from 1 species
CCACGAAGGUGUCUAAUACCUUAUAGUAUCCAUCUCGUAUGGAUUAAAGCUUUAUGCGCUUUGGGAGGGGCCUGCGUUUGAUUAGCUAGUUGGUGAGGUAAAAGCUCACCAAGGCGACGAUCAAUAGCUGGUUUGAGAGGAUGACCAGCCACACUGGGACUGAGAUACGGCCCAGACUCCUACGGGAGGCAGCAGUAAGGAAUCUUCCACAAUGGGGCAACCCUGAUGGAGCAAUACCGCGUGCAGGAUGAAGCGUUUCGGCGUGUAAACUGCUUUAUCACCGAAGAUUAUGACUGUAGGUGAAGAAUAAGGACCGGCUAACUACGUG